UACGUAGGGGGCAAGCGUUGUCCGGAAUCAUUGGGCGUAAAGCGCGUGUAGGCGGCUUGAUAAGUCUGCUGUGAAAGUCCAGGGCUCAACCCUGGAAUGCCGGUGGAAACUAUCAAGCUAGAGUCCGGAAGAGGCGAGUGGAAUUCCUGGUGUAGCGGUGAAAUGCGCAGAUAUCAGGAGGAACACCAAUGGCGAAGGCAGCUCGCUGGGACGGUACUGACGCUGAGACGCGAAAGCGUGGGGAGCAAACAGG
rnacentral:rRNA from 1 species